UCGUUGACGCAUAACACAUUACUACUUCGCAAACCCUAGCUGAAAUAUCCAUUAUUGGCGUCUCUUUAUGUUCUAACUCAUGCUUUCCUUCGCGAUUUCUUGGUGUAUAGUUUUGCUUAAUUUCUGAAUCUUGUUUUCUAGUCCAGUUGUUUUCGUGUUUCUUUGUGAUUUCUCUUUUAUUCGGUUAAAUUCAAUGAAUUUUAUUAAUUUAGCUACGGAUUUAUUGAAUCCUCUUUGAUUUGAUGAAUUGAUUUCAUCUUUACCUAGCGUAGUUUCGGAAUCGUAUUUGUAGCUCGGGAAUUUCUGUUGAUUCCUUUUGUUUAUGUUGUUAUUCAUGCUCCCGUUCAUAGAUCUGGCCAUAGUUGACUAAGCUUUUCAUAGAUCUGGUCUUAUAGUUGACUUUAUCUUCUAAUUAACUAGCAGUGAGGAUUCUAUUUGUAAUUUCUUCCUCUUUUUUUUUUUUCUCUCUCUCUCUCUUAAUUUAGAGAGGUUUUGAUGAACAAUUUUCGGCUCUCACUGAGAUUAGUUUAUCGUUUUGAUUUAGUCAAUUGUAAGUAAUGGCUGUAAUCCUUUUGUGUUUCUGAAAACGGAGAGAGUUUAUAUCGGUGUAUGAAUUUGGAGAAGAGGGAAAGGAUGAUCUGUAAGUAAUGUGUGGAAUGGGUGGUUUGGAAAGAAUGGAAUUAAGCUUCUCCUCUUUCCAAUUCCACCCAUGCCGCUUAUUACUUGUGGAUUCUUCCCUUUCCCUUGACAUUCACUUGGAUUUCUCUGUUUCAUCACAAGAAACGAUGCCCACUUGAUUUGGUUUAAGUUUCGCGAUCUUGAAGAAGAUUUGAGACAGGAUUUCCUCCUUUGAUUGUUAUUAAUAAGAAUAUGAUAUGAUGUUGAGUCAUCCAUUUUUGGGAUUUUGCAAAUCAAAUCAGGAAUCUGAGGAGGGAAGGGGAAGUGUUCAAGAAGAAAGGUUUGCAAUGUGAAUAAUCCACAUCUUGAUGAAUCUUUGUUCACAAUUGUUUUAAGAGGAUGCAAGACUAUUUUUAUUAGCAAACGGGUCACAACCCACUUUUUUAUUAUUAAUAAUACUUUCACUCUAAUUCAUAUACAUAACCAACCACUAUCUAAUUUUAAUCAUUUAUCAGUAACCUAACACACUCACACAUUUAUCAGAUCAGUAGGUAGAGUUAACCUAGAAACCAAACGAUUAUGAUAGUUAGGUUUAGAACUCACCCUUACAUAAAAAAGACCACUUGUUCUCUCACAUAGAAACAUAAACUUCAAUGUGAUUUUGAAAAAGAUCAACAUAAUUUUCUUUCUUAAGACCUCUACCUAAUCCCUUAUAAAUUUGAAGACAAAAACUUUAAAAAACUAUAAAGCAUGAAUAGUUUAAUUCAAAAAAUAGAAAAAAAAAACAAAAAUAUCCAGAAAAAUAUAUUGUUUUUGUUCCUUUUUUUUAUACACCAUUUUGACCGGUUAUUUUCCGGCCAAUAGCGAAGGACAUUAUGAAUGCCUUAAACUUGUUUUUUAUAUUUGCAAAAAUUUGAACAUCCUUAAAACAUCAGAUCUACCUCCAUUCCAGCAAAAUACUAGCAUAUGGCUACAUGGAAUAACAUACAAGAAAUCGGUGAGGUUCCAAAUUGAAAAUCUAGAAAUUAAAGCCCUAGAAAUCAAAAAUCAAAGCUGAAGAACAAUUUCUGAAACCCUAGGUUCGUGUAUCUAGAACGAUUUCUGAAAAUUGAAAACCCUAGGUUUGUGUAUCUUGUUCUUGGAUUGAAAAUCCGGAAAUCGGUGGGAACCGGUCUUGAUUCUCUUUUUGUGUACCUUCGAUUCUCAAAGAUGAUGAACAGCUUGAACUCAAAGCUGCCACGGAAGUUGUUUGAAGGGUUUCGCUGUCCAUCAUCUUCAACAUCUAAGAACCACAACAAUCGGACCACCCUUUUCAGCCUUCGCCAUCUUGGAACACCCUCGAUCUUAUACCACCUCACAACACAAAAACCCAUUUAAGCCCCAUCGCACCUCCACCUUUGCCUUCACCUAAGAACCACCACCUCGCCACCUUUAUAUCACCACCCUACCGAAAACAAACCCUCAUCACCUCUACCGAUUUUUAGAGAGAAAGGAAGAAGAUAGAAACUUGAGUUGCCUUUGUUUGUCUUAGAAUCCGGCCGAAUCAAAAGGAGAUGAAAACAUAUAGGGCGCAAGUUUAAUUUGGUAUUUUAAUAACUAUGGGGCUAAAGUUUAAUUUCAAGUGGACUUAAGUUUCAUCAUAUUUGUUCAUCAGAAAUCA